CAGCCGCCGCGGUAAUACGAAGGGUGCAAGCGUUAAUCGGAAUUACUGGGCGUAAAGCGUGCGUAGGCGGUUUGUUAAGUCUGUUGUGAAAUCCCCGGGCUCAACCUGGGAAUGGCAAUGGAUACUGGCAAGCUAGAGUGUGUCAGAGGAUGGUGGAAUUCCCGGUAUAGCGGUGAAAUGCGUAGAGAUCGGGAGGAACAUCAGUGGCGAAGGCGGCCAUCUGGGACAACACUGACGCUGAGGCACGAAAGCGUGGGGAGCAAACAGGAUUAGAUACCCCUGUAGUCCCUGUCUCUUAUAC
rnacentral:rRNA from 1 species